CCUACGGGAGGCAGCAGUGGGGAAUAUUGCACAAUGGGGGAAACCCUGAUGCAGCGACGCCGCGUGAAGGAAGAAGUAUUUCGGUAUGUAAACUUCUAUCAGCAGGGAAGAAAAUGACGGUACCUGACUAAGAAGCCCCGGCUAACUACGUGCCAGCAGCCGCGGUAAUACGUAGGGGGCAAGCGUUAUCCGGAUUUACUGGGUGUAAAGGGAGCGUAGGCGGUUUAGCAAGUCAGAAGUGAAAGCCCGGGGCUCAACUCCGGGACUGCUUUUGAAACUGUUGAACUAGAUUGCAGGAGAGGUAAGUGGAAUUCCUAGUGUAGCGGUGAAAUGCGUAGAUAGUAGGAGGAACACCAAUAGCGUAGGCAGGUUGCUGGGACGGUUCUGACACUAAGGCACGAAAGCGUAGGGAGCAAACGGGAUUAGAUACCCGGGUAGUC
rnacentral:rRNA from 1 species